CGGAGGGUGCGAGCGUUGUCCGGAAUCAUUGGGCGUAAAGGGCGCGUAGGUGGCCCGGUCAGUCGAUGGUGAAAGCGCGGGGCUCAACUCCGCGUCGGCCGUCGAUACUGCUGGGCUUGAGCACUGUAGAGGCAGGCGGAAUUCCGGGUGUAGCGGUGGAAUGCGUAGAGAUCCGGAAGAACACCGGUGGCGAAGGCGGCCUGCUGGGCAGUGGCUGACACUGAGGCGCGACAGCGUGGGGAGCAAACAGG
rnacentral:rRNA from 1 species